AUUGAACGCUGGCGGCAGGCCUAACACAUGCAAGUCGAACGAGUGGCGGACGGGUGAGUAAUGUCUGGGAAACUGCCCGAUGGAGGGGGAUAACUACUGGAAACGGUAGCUAAUACCGCAUACCAUCGGAUGUGCCCAGAGGGGAUUAGCUAGUAGGUGGGGUAACGGAUCACCUAGGCGACGAUCCCUAGCUGGUCUGUGAGGAUGACCAGCCACAAUGGAAUGGAGACACGGUCCAGACUCCUACGGGAGGCAGCAGUGGGGAAUAUUGUGCAAUGGGCGCAAGCCUGAUGCAGCCAUGCCGCGUGUAUGAAGAAGGCCUUCGGGUUAUAAAGUACUUUCAGCGAGGAGGCGUUACUCACAGAAGAAGCACCGGCUAACUCCGUGCCAGCAGCCGCGGUAAUAC
rnacentral:rRNA from 1 species